UUUAAACUGCUGAGAGAUGUCUGGUGCGCCUGCAGACAUCUCUGUUUUCAAAAUGGCGCGUAUCAGUCGUCACGAUCUAAGCAUUAUAUUGAUUUGGCGACUGAGUACAACGCAGGCA
rfam:Breda virus strain Breda 1, complete genome.